AGAGUUUGAUCCUGGCUCAGGACGAACGCUGGCGGCGUGCUUAACACAUGCAAGUCGAGCGGAAAGGCCCUUCGGGGUACUCGAGCGGCGAACGGGUGAGUAACACGUGAGCAACCUGCCCUUAGCUUUGGGAUAACCCUCGGAAACGGGGGCUAAUACCGAAUGUUCACUUCCUGUCGCAUGGUGGGGGGUGGAAAGUUUUUCGGCUAGGGAUGGGCUCGCGGCCUAUCAGCUUGUUGGUGGGGUGAUGGCCUACCAAGGCGACGACGGGUAGCCGGCCUGAGAGGGCGACCGGCCACACUGGGACUGAGACACGGCCCAGACUCCUACGGGAGGCAGCAGUGGGGAAUAUUGCACAAUGGGCGCAAGCCUGAUGCAGCGACGCCGCGUGAGGGAUGACGGCCUUCGGGUUGUAAACCUCUUUCAGCAGGGACGAAGGGUGACUGACGGUACCUGCAGAAGAAGCGCCGGCCAACUACGUGCCAGCAGCCGCGGUAAGACGUAGGGCGCGAGCGUUGUCCGGAUUUAUUGGGCGUAAAGAGCUCGUAGGCGGCUUGUCGCGUCGACUGUGAAAACCCGUGGCUCAACCAUGUGGUCUGCAGUCGAUACGGGCAGGCUAGAAUUCGGUAGGGGAGACUGGAAUUCCUGGUGUAGCGGUGAAAUGCGCAGAUAUCAGGAGGAACACCGGUGGCGAAGGCGGGUCUCUGGGCCGAUAUUGACGCUGAGGAGCGAAAGCGUGGGGAGCGAACAGGAUUAGAUACCCUAGUAGUCC
rnacentral:rRNA from 1 species